UGAAAAUUGUUGGUAUAGACUUGCAAAAUCCAGUUUUCAGUCAUGGGCAGUUGUACGUUGCUUUAUCAAGAUGCACUUCAUUGAGAAAUAUUUCAAUUUUACUUUCAAGUGAAGAAGAUGAAACUACAACCAAUGUGGUUUACCCAGAAGUUCUAUUAUACACAUUCAGGUAUUUUAAUUAUCAAUUAAAAAUUAUUAUAUUAAAUAUUUAGAAUAUAUUUCAUGUAAUUAAUCAAUUUUUAUUAAAUGUAGGUUACAACUAUUCUUUAGUGGAAGUGGAAAAGCUCCUGGAA
rnacentral:lncRNA from 1 species